GCCUCAAUAUUGAAACUGCAAAAGUUCAAAACUUAGUAAAGACAAAGUGUGAAUAUCAGAUGAAUUGGUGAUGUAUGAUAAAGACAUCAAUGAAAAGGAGUAUAAUCAUUACUGUAGGAUAGUGGAGAAAAAGAAAAAACAGGUCAAACAGCAUACAAAUGAAGGUUGAAAAUAAUUUGAAAAACUCAAAUUGGAGGAUAACUGGAUAACAUCAGGAUAACUGGAGGAUAAUUAUUAGAAAAUAGAUAUGGAUUACUUCAAACACUGCUUGGCUUUGAUGUUGCUGUUUUGGAGUACACACCUUACAGAGCAGCAAUGUCCAUCGGGUUUAUUCCUUGGGACGUUUCGUGAAGAUCAUCCUAUAGGCUCUAUUCUCUUUAAUUUGACGGUCGAUACAAGUCUUGUGAACUUAACUAUAGAACCAGAUAAUGAUUGGGACCCAAGACCUGAAGAUCCUAAUGGAUAUUUAGAAUUAACAGAACUUGACGAGCCUAUUCAACAUGUACGACUCGCAAGAUCCCUGCUUCUUGAUGACCUCAAUCCAAGUAGACCCCGUGCGAAACCAACCACAAGUGAAGAUUUACCAUGCAAUUACACAGGAAUUCCUGACAGAACCCCAGAUAAAGAUGUGAAACGAGUGCAAUACAAAAUUAAGUGUAAAAAUCUGGGAGAUCCUAUUGAAAUCUCUUCCUCUAUAAUCAUGUCUAUAACAGAUUUGAAUGACCAUGCCCCAUAUUUCCAAUGCGCCCCUUAUGUGAAAAAGAUCAGCGAGCAAACUCUUGUUGGUUCCCCUGUAUUUACUCUGAGAGGACUGGCCACUGAUGACGAUUAUGAAAUUGAGAGUCCAAUGUCAUAUGGUUUUGGAGAACCUAGUGGCACGGUUGGCAAGUUUGCAAUGCGGUCUGCUUCAGCACAAGAUGGCCGAAUAGAUCUUGUUGGGGAAUUAGACUACGAUUAUGGAGAUAAAUCAUACACACUUAAUGUAACAGCUAACGAUGGCAUGUUUCCAAACCCUAAGAGCAACUGGACCACUUUAACUAUAGAAGUUACAGAUGCUGAUGACCAAGACCCCGUCUUUACUGAGGAGAUGUACACACUCACUUUACCAGAAGGGAGUUCUGAUAUGGUUGGCCAGAACCUGAAGACAGAACCAGCAAUCAGAGCAUAUGAUAAAGACAGGGGUAUCGAUCAACCUGUUCAUUAUGACAUUGUUAGAGGGAAUAACAUUAGUGAUGUUUCAUACUUCAAACUGAAUAUAACUACUGGAGAAGUCAUACCAUUACAAGUGCUGAACAGAGAGAACAUCAAACAAUUUAACAUGAGAAUUAUGGCCUACCAGACUGACAAGCCUCUUUCACGACGUGCUUAUGCCUCACUAACUAUCGAUGUAGAGGAUGUCAAUGACAACAAGCCUAUUAUGACAUCACACACAUACAAUGUGACGAUCCCUGAGAAUCUUCCUGAAGGACUGCUAGUGACACAAGUCAGCGCCACUGACGCAGAUGAGGGAUCAAAUGCUGAGUUUGAGUACAAGAUAAUGGACACAAGUGGUGGCUUUCAACUUGACAGUACUACUGGGAUUGUAUCUGUUCUUAACAGCAACCUCCUUGACAGAGAGACAAACCAAUACUUUGAAUUUACAGUGUAUGCACAAGAAACUAAGACUGAAGAAAAGUUCUCAAGCAAUAGCUCCAGGGUGUAUGUGACACUGUCAGAUGUAAAUGACAAUGCUCCGGUCUUCCAACAACCCUCUGGCCUCCCUGGCUACCUGUUCAAGGUCAGACCAAGCAUGAAGGUCAACCACACUGUGGGCUAUGUGUAUGCCAAUGACACAGAUGAAGGUGCCAAUGCAGAAGUACGUUAUGACGUCCAGUUUGGAUCCCCAGGUUGGGAGUCCACCUUCCAUAUGGACUCCAUCAAUGGGAGGGUCAGCUUAAAGAGAAUCCCACAGGAAGACUUUUACUUCCUUGGGGUCAGGGCCACUGACCAGGCUCUUCCUGCUAGAUUGAGAAGAUCUUCCACUGUUAGCUUAGAUAUCUGGGCCAAUGAGACUGUUGAAAAGCCUAGGUUUGAGCAGGAUCUCUAUACUGUGGAUAUAUACAACAGCCAUGCUGUCAAUUCUUCCAUUAUUCAAGUCUAUGCAGGUCCAAUGACUUACAACUAUGCAAUAUUAGGUGGCAACAAUGGCAGUAUAUUUGCAAUCAACCACACCAAUGGGGUGAUCUACCUGGCCAAAUCGGUUGCUGCAUUCCCCAAUGUUACAUUCCAGCUUCAUAUUAUAGCUCAUAAUAUAUCAGAUAUAACACUCAAUGAUACCACCAAGGUGAAAAUCAACAUAUUAGAAGAGACUAACAUUCCAGUAUUCUACCAGAGACAAUAUAACAGGUCUAUUAUUGAAGAGGAGGUUGAUAGGGAGAUGAUAGUGGAUUUAAACACAACAGAUGAGAGUAAUGGGAAACCUAUUAAAUACUCAAUUCUCUCUGGCAACACUUAUGGUGUGUUCAGUAUAAAUGCCACUACAGGUGUAGUUUAUAGAGAGGAGCAGAUAGAUAGAGAGAAUACAUCAAGUUUUAACCUGCUGGUCAGAUGUGACAGACUAAACACAACUCAACUUCCUGUGAGACAUCUACAAGAUAAGAAUCGGCCAUUGAAUAAGGCCAUACUCAACAUUGAUAUAGAAGACAUCAACGACAACUACCCCAGCUUCUACUAUAGUCCUAUACUUGCUGGGGUACCCCCUGAUGUAUCAUAUGGUUAUCUAAUAUACACAGUACAGGCUUAUGAUAGAGAUUCUGGGAACAAUAGUGCACUUGCGUACAGGAUUAGUGGCCCAGACAGUAAACUGUUUGAGAUACAACCCUCAACUGGUGACUUAACCAGUAAAGGCAAUUUCAUAAACUCUGGAAAGCAAGAACUGAAGUUCAAAGUUUCUGUUGUGGACAACUAUGGGCAGGGUCUUUCUACCAACACAUCUAUGACAAUAAAGGUGCUACCUGACUCUCAGAGGGCUAUUCUAGUCGCUGGUAUUCCUCCCUCCAAGUUCAAAGAAAACCAGGCUGUCAUAAUAAGGAACCUGAGUGCCAUACUUGGUUGGGAUGUGCGCAUGGAGAAGCUUGAGUCACAUGAGGAGAAUGGGAAGGUGGAUGUUGAGAGGACUGACAUGUACUUCCAUGCUGUGGAUACUGAGGGAGGGAGAAUAGUGCCAAAAGAUGAACUUUUGAAGCGUAUUGAAGAAAAAGCAGAUGAAAUCCGUGCCUUGUUUGAUUCCCUUGAGGCGAAUGUUGUUACUGUGAAGGCAAUACCAUCCGUUAUGGUCCCCUACACCAUUGGGGCCGUUCAGGCAGGUUUCCUGGCCCUUGGCUGCAUCAUUUUCCUGGGCUCUCUCAUCGGAGUUAUUGUCGUCAUUUAUUCAUGGAAGAAAUUGAAAGAUGAAGAAGCUUCAUUACCUUUACCAAACUCUUCUUAUAUUAAUCCUGCCUUCAAAAGGAGAAAAUAUGAAAACGACAGAACGACACAUUUAAUGCAUACCCUAAACAAUGCCAAGCGCAACCCUGCUAUUUCCAACCCUGCUUUUGAUUACAACCUAAAAGAUGAAGGGAUGGUGGAUGUGGGUGAUGAGGGAAUAGUCGUAGUACGAGAGAGCAGUGAUGAUAAUGCCAGUGACGACUGGCAGGGCAAUAACCACAUGAACACAUUAGAGGGUCCUAGGAUAGAAAAUGGUGUCAUAAGAACUGUGAUUAAUGUCCCUGGGAUAACUGGUAAAAUGCAGCAGUAUGAGAUCGGAGAAACUGAAGUCUGAUUUAAGCAGGCAGAUGUAAGAUUAGAGACGUGGAGUGCUGAAAGAAAAAAAGAAACCGAAUGCGAAUGAACACCAAACUGCUGAAAUGUUGAAAACAGACAAUGGUGAUGCACAUAUCUACGUAACUAAUCCAACUUAUGCCAACAUCAAGAAAUCACCCAAACUUGCACUGAAGGCGAAGAAUAUGGAUUUGGGAAACAUCAUACUGUUUGAUGAUACGGACCAGCAGCAUGAAGACCAACCAAAUGGAGCAACUAUUCGUCUUGGUGAUUCAUUAAAGUCAUCCACAGAUGCCCUGUCAAUAGAGAGUAAGGUUUCUGGUGUAAACUCUGCACAUGGGGACACGCCUAAGGUUGACUAUGUUGCCGACCCAAAGGUUGAUUAUGUUGCCGACCCAAAGGGUAAGAACUCAAAGACAGUGGACAGUAUUUAUUUACCAGGAGAGGGAGCACUUCUGCUUGAUCAAAAAAGCAGCACUCCCACUGUGCAUGCCAUCAAUGUCAAACCUGCUGAGGAGAAUGCUACCACUGCAGGCAGUGGAGAUAAUCUCCAGGCAGAUGUAAAUAGUAUCACCAUUCCUGGGGAUGAUUCAAUUGAUGGUGGGGGUCCCAAAGUCGGGAACCCUUCUAAGCCUCAUAAAAAGGCAAGUAGUGCUAAUAGCCUGACCCCAGUUGUUCAAAAUGAACAGUUUUGGAACAACAUGAAUGCGCUUGAUAAUGACCCACCUAAAUCUUUUCCAACUCAGAAGUACAGUGAACUGGUCACUGAGCUAUAAAUCUGCAUUUCCAAUGAAAUAAGGUUUUGCCUCAAAUGUUAAACAUUGAUUUUCAUAUAUUUGGAAUAAAAACUCAAUAGAUAUCAAUAUUUCAUAACUGGUAAUUUGUAUUAAAGCUUAAUUAAAUCGGGGACUAAUUAAGGAGAGAUAGAGGCUAUGAUGUCACAGAUCAUUGUUUAAUACCUGAGGUGAAGGGUCAACGAGAUUCAAGCCCAUUCAUUUAUUAAGGCCUACUUACCAGCAUUAUAUUGUAUAUAUUGUAUCAAUCACUACACAUAAUCAACUUAUUAACAAAUACAUGUUGAACAGAUGUUCAUACAUAGCCAAAUUGUAUAUAGUCUUGUGAGAGAUUUUAUGUUAUACCAAACACAAAUACAUAUCAAGUACGAUGAAUCAUUGCAAUGAGAUUAUAUCCAGGAUUUGUUGGUAUAUACAGGGUGUCCCGAAAGUAUGCCCCCCCUAGGCAGACAUAUUCCUCAUAGUAUGUGUCAUAUAUCAUUUUAAAGCUUAUCCAAAGUUACAUUGAUUUGCCAAGUAUCAUGGUUUAACUCCC
rnacentral:misc_RNA from 1 species